rnacentral:rRNA from 1 species
GAUGAACGCUGGCGGCGUGCCUAAUACAUGCAAGUCGAGCGAACGGACGCGAAUCUUGUUUCUCUGUCGUUAGCGGCGCACGGGAGUGUAACACGUGGAUACUCUACCUAUCUGUCUGGGAUCACUUCGAGAAUCCGGCGCUAAUCCCGGAUGAUCUUCUGAUCCGCAUGGUUGAAAGGUGAAUGUCGGUCUUGCUGUAUCUUAUAGCUGGAUCCGCGCUGCAUUAUCUAGUUGGUAAGGUAACGGCUUACCACGGCGACGAUGCAUAGACGACCUGAGAGAGUGGUCGGCGACACUGGAACGGAGACGCGGUCCAUACUCCUACGGGAGGCAGCAGUAGGGAAUCGGCCGCAGUGGGCGAAAGCCUGGCGGAGCGACGCGGCGUGAGUGAUGAAAGUGUUCGGAGCGUAAAACUCGGUUAUGAGGUAAGAACAGAUGUGGAAGGAGCUGUGCAGAGCUUGACGGUACCGAAUCAGAAAGCCACGGCUAACUACGUG